rnacentral:rRNA from 1 species
AACGAACGCUGGCGGCAGGCCUAACACAUGCAAGUCGAACGCCGUAGCAAUACGGAGUGGCAGACGGGUGAGUAACGCGUGGGAACAUACCCCUCGGUUCGGAAUAACUUAGGGAAACUUGAGCUAAUACCGGAUACGUCCGAGGUUUUAACCGGCCUCGGAGAAAGAUUUAUCGCCGGAGGAUUGGCCCGCGUCUGAUUAGCUUGUUGGUGAGGUAAUGGCUCACCAAGGCGACGAUCAGAGCUGGUCUGAGAGGAUGAUCAGCCACAUUGGGACUGAGACACGGCCCAAACUCCUACGGGAGGCAGCAGUGGGGAAUAUUGGACAAUGGGCGAAAGCCUGAUCCAGCCAUGCCGCGUGAGUGAUGAAGGCCUGG